CCAGGUUGGAGUGGUGCAGUGGCACGAUCUCGACUCACUGCAACCUCCACCUCUCAGGCUCAAGCGAUCCUCCUGCCUCAGCAUCCCAAGUAGUUAGGAUUACAGGUGUGCAUCACCACGCCUGGCUAAUUUUUUUUUGUUUUUUUUUUGAGACAGAGUCUUACUCUGUCGGCCAGGCUGGAGUGCAGUGGCAGGAACUCGGCUCACUGCAACCUCCACCUCGCAGGUUCAAGCAAUUCUCCUGCCUCAGCCUCCUGAGUAGCUGGGAUUACAGGCAUCUACCACUACGCCUGGCUAAUUUUUGUAUUUUUAAUAGAGACAAGGUUUCAGCAUGUUGGCCAGGCUGGCCUCAAACUCCUGGCCUCAAGUGAUCCUCCUACCUCAGCUUCCCAAAGUGCUGGGAUUAUAGGCGUGAGGUGAGCCACUGCACUUGGCCUUUUUUGUAUUUUUAGUAGAGACGGGGUUUCACCAUUUUGGCCGGGAUGGUCUCAAACUCCUGAUCUCAAGUGAACUUCCCGCCUUGGCCUCCCAAAAUGCUGGGAUUACAGGUGUGAGCCACUGCACCUGGCCUGUAGAACUCCUGUGUGCAAAGUUAGCUCAAUUAUUAGGGAGUCGCUUGAGCCCAGGAGUUUGAGGCUGCAGUGAGCUAUGAUUGCACCACCACACCACCGUACUACAGCCCGGAUGACAGAGUGAGACCCUGUCUCAAAAACAAACAAACAAACAAACAAACAAAAGCAAAGAAUGUCAGGGAUUGAGGAAAAGAAGCAGCAAGACGAUGGGGUACACAGGGUAGAGUCAGAACAGGGCUGGGAGCUUGUGUGGGUGCCUAAAAUAGUUUUGUCUGGAUUUAGUGUGGAAUCCUGGCUCCCUUGUUUAGUUGUUUAGUUCUAGUAUUUACUCAAACUUUUAGAGUUGCCCUAUUCCAGAGUCACAUGCCCAUCAAAGAUGAAUCCGAAAUUGAAGUGGCCAUAGAUGGUAGAGGACCUUAAAAUUGUCUCCCUCCAACUUGAUUUACGACAUGAAGAGAUCUUGAUGCUGUGGCCAAUGGGAUCCCUGAGUGUAGACAGCAUCUGAAUCUAUAUCCAUGCAGAAUGAGAUAAAUAUAUUGCCAUAGAAGAAGAUGCUGGCACCAAAUUGUGUCUGUAUGUGUUUGUUUUUGUUAGUAACUUUUUUUUUUUUUUUGACACAGAGUCUUGCUCUGUUGCCCAGGCUGGAGUGCAGUGGCAUGAUCUCAGCUCACCACAAUCUCUGUCUCCUGGGUUCAAGCGAUUCUCCUGCCUCAGCCUCCCGAGUAGCUGGGAUUACAGGUGUGAGCCACUGCGCCUGGCUAAUUUUUGUAUUUUUUUUUUUUAGUAGAGACAAGGUUUCGCCAUGUUGGCCAGGCUGAUCUUGAACUCCUGACCUCAGGUGAUCCAUCCGCCUCGGCCUCCCAAAGUGCUGGGAUUAUAGGCAUGAGCCACUGUGCCUGGUCAGCUUUUGUUAGUAAUUUCUUAAGGAAGAUUUGAGCCUUAUGGUAAAUAGUACCUAGCAUAGUGCUUGCUGCAUAGUGGACGUUAAAUUUGUUUUUUUGAUAAAUGAAUAAAUGAACAAGUGUAUGAUAGACAGUAAAUACUGGCUGCCUAUCUUGUUCAUAUCUUUAAAAAUGGAGAUAUUAUAAUCAUGUGCUUUCUUCCAUAUAUAAAGUUGAUAUUCCUGAUUCACCAUUAAAAGAACAUUUACUUUGCAUAUGUGGUGUGACAUAGGCUCUAGUCCUGACCCUGCCAGUAAUUAUCCAUGUGACCUCAAGUAAAUGACUAAUAUUCUCUUGCUUCUUUUUUUUUCCUGUUUAUUCUGUAAAAGGAGGUGGUUGAACUCAGCACAUGCUAAACCUCCAUCUAGAUUUGAACUUUUGAGAUUACUCUGUGGUUCUAAGAUAAGAGCUCCUGUGUACAAAGUUAGCUCGACCACAUAGGGACCAAACCUACCAACCUUGUUCCAUCAGCACUGUGCUCGAGCUUGAAUUGGCUUAGAGUAGUUUAAGGCAUCUUUAAACAGAGAUCUACAAAUCCCCCAGACUCCAUCAAUGGGCUUUAUAGGGUUUACAAACUUGCAGCCCCUCCUCACACUCUUAUAAGCAACAUUUUGUAUAUAAGCAUCUUGUGAAUUUUUCUGGGGUAUGUGUCCUUAGAUUUCAAAGAGUCUCAAAAAUGUGGAUAACCUCUAAACGUUAAGAAAUCCUGCUCUGUCACCCAGGCUGGAGUGCAGUGGUGUGAUCCUGGCUCACUGCAACCUCUGCCUCCUGGGUUCAAGUGAUUCUCCUGCCUCAACCUCCCAAGCAGCUGAGACUACAGGACGUGCCACCAUGCUGACUAAUUUUUGUAUUUUUAGCAGAGAUGGGGUUUUGCCAUUGUUGGCUAGGCUGGUCUUGAACUCCUGACCUCAAGUGAUCUGCCUGUCUUGGCCUCCCAAAGUGCUGGGAUUACAGGCGUGAGCCACUGUACCCAGCCUGUUUCUAACACUAUUGCAUUUAAUCUGAUAAAUGAGUAAGACCCAGUUGUAGCCACAGAAAAACUAAUGGAAUUCAGAACACAGAUCUCACCAUUUUUAUGCUUUAGACAUUUUGCCUACAGGGAAGCCUGAAACCCUCUUGAUUAAUCAACGACAGAGAAAAACAUAGAAUGCUCUGACUGCAGGACAAUUAUCUCUGGGCACAAUAGAAUUCCACCCGGUUGGGCUUAUCACAGAAAGGAAUCUGUCAGAAAGUUCCCCCAGUGUAGUGAUGACCAUUACCCAACACAGUGAUGUCCAGACUAUCACAUAGAAGAGGUCCACACCUGUGGUCAUAAGUGGUUUGGGUCUUAGACUGGCACAAACCAGAGGUCAGCAGGUGGAGGAUGGGCCAACUGACAGAGGCAGAGACUGUGGGGCUCUAAUCACUGCUGUGCUAUAAAGUUCUUAUGACCAUUCAGUGCAAACCACUCAAUCUCAUUGGAUUCCAAUUCCUUUACUUAUUUAUUUAUUUAUUUUGAGACGGAGUUUCGCUCUUGUUGCCCAGGCUGGAGUGCAAUGGCGCAAUCUUGGCUCACCGCAACCUCUUACUCCUGGUUUUAAUCAAUUCUCCUGCCUCAGCCACCGGAGUAGCUGGGAUUACAGGCAUGCGCCACCACGCCUGGCUAAUUCUGUAUUUUUAGUAGAGACGGGGUUUUUCCAUGUUGGUCUCGAACUCCCGACUGCAGGUGAUCCACCUGCCUUGGCCUCCCAAAGUGUUGGGAUUACAGGCGUGAGCCACUGUUUCUGGCCCCAAUUCCUUUAUUUCAUAAGCAUAUUUAAUAUGAGAGAAAUUGAAUUCCUAAGAAAAAAUCCCAAGGAAUCAAUAGGAUAUACUUUUAAAGAAAAAGGUGGGUCAGCAUAUAGGAAAUUAAGAUAUUAAUGGCUACUCACCUAGAGCCCAGACUUGGGGGAUCUGGAUGGGUCUAAGGAAGACUGGAGAUUUAAGGGAACCAGAUCUACUAUCCAAGAGCCAUGAGUAUCCCCAGGGCUGAGUCUGGUUCUAUCUGUUUAGCAGAAAUUAACCCAAAGGCUGGUCUCAAAGGUUCUCAGGGCCAGUUAGCUCAAGUUUCCAGAGCACUGUGCUCAAAGGAUCACAAGUUUGACCUUUGUGAUUAUGCGACAACUAAUGUCACUCUGUUUUCACAUUAGACUGAGCCCUAGCUGUAGCCAGGAGCAUCACUGGGGACACAUGGAGGACUGGCUGGGAGAGUGUGAGUGGCAUCCCUGCCUUUGGAAACCAGCUCAAAGUCCACUCUAGCUCAAACUGCUCACUUUAACAAACACCUCAAGUUUGUGUGUGUUCCGCAUGUCACCAUCAUUUUAGGUAAUUUUCAAAGAACAAGUGAGCAGCGAAAGAAUACAAGGCUCACUCCUAAGGGACUUCAGGCUGAGGCACUAGCCCAGCUGGGAUGACCAAUGAGAUUGACUCCUUCAAGAAGUAAGAACUCCUUUAAGAAGUAAAGACUCCAUUCUCCCUGUCUUCGGUGAAGUCACAUAACUCGUCUUUCUCACAGGGCCUGCCUCUCUGGGCACCUCAGCCAGUGCCUGCAGGGCUGGUUAUCCAAGCUCACACUGAGAGCUGUCGCUGAGUGUCAGGCACACAGAACCAGAGGGCUGGGCCUUUGACAGCAGCUCCAAAAAUAAGGUGCCAGGCCCUGCUUCUCACUUUCCCCUUGUGCCCUGUGAGCUGCUGGCAUUGCCUUUGGAGCCAUUACUCAGCAGGCUGAAUGUAGCAGAAAUAGGAUGCUGCUUUGACUCAGGAGCCCAGAUUCUUUCUCGGGCUGAGUCCUGCAAGCCUGUCUCUUGCACUGCAGUGGAGGGCCCUGGCAGGGCUAUGUGGGGACAUAACCUGGCCUCUCACUCUCACUUCCUGGCAGGGCAGUAAUCCAGGACAGCGUUUUGCUGCUAACUAUCCCUGGGCUUUUGCAGGUGUCUCUGUGCCCCUGGGCUGUACAGCACCAGCUAUCUGGUGAACACCCUUUCCUUACCUCCUCCAUUCUUUUCACACACACUCCUUCCCCCUUCUCAUCCUAAAUGAAAACCUGGCCUGCCACCAGGCCCCAUCUCUCUUCCUCAGGGUCAGAACAGGCUGACAUUCUCCAACCUCCUGACCCCAGCUUCUCCAGACCCCGGCUUCCCCACCCUUCUUGGGCACAUCAUCCUGUUUUACUGCUGGCUCAGUCCACUCAACUGUUCGCUGGUGUCCAGCACAUUCUCUUGCCCUCCUCAGUGGCUUAACACCUGCCUUGUAGCUUUCAUGACAACUUCCUCUUCUGUCACCUGUUUUUUUACUUUUCUGGUAUCUUAGCUUCACUAUUGUUUUCUAAAACCUACAAAUAACAUCUGCCCAACCUGUCAUUCACUGUAACAAAUAUACUUUGGACAUGGGCAUCAGAAUGGCCCAUAUCAUACCAAAUUCUUACAACCCUACUCUGACCACAAACAUCUUAGCUUCUUUCUACCUGUCUGCUUCAGGUAAUUCUUCCUCACCUGCUCACCCUUCCCAGAAUCUCUUGCACCCUCCACAUCCAGCCUGGAUCCCUUGGCCUGCCGUUUCCAGGGUGCCCAUGGGUCCCGCAUACUUUCACUCUUCCCUGGGUCGCCUGUGCUGACUUCCCACCUUGGGUAAUCCCUACCUCAGUUUUCUUUGGCUCUGCUCCCAGAUUGCUGAGUGCAGCUGAAAACGUACAAGCUCUCUGUGGUGUUGGAGCCUUCAACAACCCAUUCCAUUAAGACCAUGUGUGUCUGACUGUCUUCCCCACCAUUUGCACUUCAAGGUAGGGACUUUAGCACCCCCAGGAUAAUCAUAAAAAGUUAAAAUGUAGUACACGACUGACACUUGCCUAGGCACCUUACAUAUAUAGUAAUUUAUUUAAUCCUCCGAUGACAACAGAGAAAGCACUGUUAUCACCUUUCCUGUUUUUCAGUGAGGACACUGGGGCUCAGAGAAAUGAAGUAACUUGCAUAAGGUCACAGGAUCAGUAGAUAGCAGAGUCAAGAUUAUGGUAUCUGGGUGACACAUUUAUACUGUUCUCUUCUUAAGAGCUCUGUGGAAAGUUUGCUGACUUUCAUCAGAGCUUCUGCUGCAGCUAGCAAUCUUUUAAAUCAUCCCCAGUUCACUCUUAAUUGGACGUAUGUAUAUUUCUUUUUUUUUCUUUUUUGAGAUGGAGUCUUGCUCUGUCGCCCAGGCUGGAGUGCAGUGGGGUGAUCUUGGCUCACUGCAACCUCUGCCUCCCGGGUUCAAGUGAUUCUCCUGCCUCAGCCUCCUGAGUAGCUGGGAUUACAGGUGCGCAUCACCAUGCCCGGCUAAUUUUUGUAUUUUUAGUAGAGACGGGGGUUUCACCAUGUUGGCCAGGCUGGUCUCAAACUCCUGACCUCGUGAUCUGCCCGCUUUGGCCUCCCAAAGUGCUGGGAUUACAGGCGUGAGCCACUGUACCCAGUGGAUGUAUGUAUAUUUCAUUUCUGACUCUUUAAUACUUCUGGUAAAUUUAGACCAGAGAUCAUUGCUCUCUGGUCCCAGUGGGCAUCUAGACUCUCAGGGCAACCUUCCAUGCUCUUCUUCCUUGUGUUUGACUGAACUAGCUCCCAGAUGAGCUUCCCUCAGGGCCCCAUGUGCCACAACCCCAGAUACCUCCACUGUUCAGCGGGGCUGUGCUGUCCCAGUUCCCAUUCUCUAGGGAAGAGAGAAGACAUUACAAUUGUCAUGAUGGUUAUUUAAAGUCAUUUCCAUGUCAACAGGCUUUGGAAGCUGGGACUUAAAUCCCCCCUCUGCCACUCACUACCUUCCAUGGGCAAAUCACUUAAAUUCAAAGAGAUUUAGUUUCUUUCUCUCUUCUCCUCUCUCUCUUUCUUUUCAUUCUUUUUUUAAAGGAAGUCUUGCUCUGUUGCCCAGGCUAGAAUACAGUGGCACGAUCUUGGCUCACUUCAACCUCCGCCUCCCGGGUUCAAGCGAUCCUCCCGCCUUAGCCUCCUGAGUAGCUGGGAUUAUAGGCACGUGCCACCAUGCCUGGCCAAUUUUUGUAUUUUUAGUAGAGAUGGGGUUUCACUAUGUAGGCCAGGCUGGUCUCAAACUCCUGACCUCAAGUAAUCCACCCCCUGGCCUCCCAAAGUGCUGGGAUUACAGGUGUGAGCCACUGUGACUGGCCUAGAUUUAGUUGCUUUAUCUGCAAAGUGAGAAUAAUAAUGAUACUCUUAUUAGGGUUAUAUUUAUUAAAGAGCCUUGCACAGAGCCUGGCUCAUAUUAGGCACUGUAAAUAUUAGUUCUUUUUCCUUCUCUUACCCCCACACCCCUCUCCUGUCAAUUCAUUCUCUGCAGAUGACCUUUUAGGGUGAAUUCUCUCAAUUCCCUUGUAUUUCUAUCAAAAAUUUCUCAUUUAUAGUACAAGUUUCUUAAAAAUGAGUUGGCACUUUUAAGGCAAUUGCCUUUAUCAGACCCUUUGUCACAGUAAUUCCACUUCUAGGAAUCUAUUAUGAAGAAGUAG
rnacentral:lncRNA from 1 species